UACGAAGGGGGCGAGCGUUGUUCGGAUUUACUGGGCGUAAAGGGCGCGUAGGCGGCCCUCUUUGUCGCGUGUGAAAGCCCCGGCUCAACCUGGGAAUGGCGCGCGAAACGGGGGGGCUGGAGUUCGGGAGAGGAGCGUGGAAUUCCCAGUGUAGAGGUGAAAUUCGUAGAUAUUGGGAAGAACACCGGUGGGCGAAAGGCGGCAUCCGUGGCACACAACUGACGCUGAGACACGACAGCAUGGGGAGCGAACGGG
rnacentral:rRNA from 1 species